GCUGCCUGCCCACCCAUUCAUCGAUCUUAGAAAAAGCUCAAAGCUGCAGGUUGGCGUCAAACGGUGAAGGGAGAAGAGCUGCUGUGUGUGUGUGUUUGCUCAACAUGCAUAAAGUGGUCUCAUGCAUAAGUGGCCGGUGUGCAGCUUUAACAGGACGGUCCAGCUGUUUAACCAGUUUGGCCAGAUUUCACCUGCGAAGUGGAGCAGCACAUCAGAAAUCAGCCAUCAAAUAUUAUAUGGUAGACAUCCCAGAGAUGCCCCCGUGCAGUUUCAAACUAGAGGAAUACAAGGGUAUGUCCAAAGAGCAGAUGAUGGAGAUCCGCAAGCAGAACUGCAUGACCAUGAAGAUAACUUACUAUAAGAAGCCCGUGUUCAUCCACCAGGGGUACAUGCAGUGGCUGUGGGAUGUGGAUGGGAAGCGAUAUUUGGAUUUAUUUGCUGGUGUGGCUACCGUCAGUGUGGGCCACUGCCAUCCAAAAGUCACAGCAGCGACACAGAGGCAGCUGAAGAAACUGUGGCAUACUACUAACAUCUACAUCCAUCCCGAACUGCAUGAGUAUUGUGACAAACUCGCCUCCUACUUACCAGAUCCUCUUAAGGUGAUUUAUCUGACCAACAGCGGCUCGGAAGCCAAUGAGCUUGCAAUGCUGAUGGCUCGCCUCCACACUGGCAACUUUGAUAUAAUCACCUUCAGGGGAUCAUAUCAUGGUGGAAGCCAACAGACCAUGGGUCUUACUGCAAAAUCAUCUUGCAAGUUCCCCAUUGCCACAAGUUCAGGAUGUAUACAUGGCAUGGGAGGAGCUGUACAGUACCCGAAAAACUAUCUCAAGGAAGCUUACAAACUUGUAAGACAGACAGGAGGAAUCUGCAUUGCUGAUGAGGUCCAGACUGGAUUUGGCCGAACAGGAAGCCACUUUUGGGGUUUCCAAGGUCAUGAUGUCAUUCCUGACAUGGUUACAAUGGCAAAGGGUAUUGGCAAUGGAUUCCCAGUGGGAGCUGUUGUUACCACACCAGAAAUCGCUGUUUCCUUUGUGAAAGCCUCCCACUUCAACACAUUCGGAGGAAAUCCCUUGGCGUGUGCCGUUGCUUCAUCGGUUCUCGAUACAGCUGCCCUUCCACCGAGACCAUUUCUGAUGACGCUGAGGCGAACAGCAGAUGAUAAACUGAAGGGCCACAUCCAUCUCUCAGGUUUUGUCAGAUACCGUUCAUCGUAUUUUUUAAUCCUGCCACUUUUCUUUUGUCCUUCACUUCUCCAGGUUCCUAAUUUUUUGGUGAAUACACUGCACACCUUUCUGAGAUAUGCCAAGGUUUAACCUAUUAGCUCUUUGGAACUGACAGAUUUGUCAGCUACACAUUCAUGAUGCGAAUCUUCUACUUCAGCACAUCCCAAAGGUGCUUGAGUGAACUGAGGACUGUGGAGGCCAUUUGAGUACAGUGAACUCAUAGCUUUAGAGGAUCUGAGCUUUGCGACACAGUGUGUUGUCCUAUCCAGCUGAAGAUGGGCAUGCUGUGGUCCAAUUGUCGAUAAAAAUUGUGGGGUUGAUUCUUUUUUUUUCUGAAGUGGUUAAUAGCUGGUCAUUUCCCCUCCUUAUUAAGUAUUUGAAUAUAUGCUUAAAGAUGCCAAAGACACCAGAUCACAUUUCUCCAGAUGUAAGCUGAUUAAAAAGCAAAAGAAAAGGGCAGUUUUUCCAAAUCUUAACCGAUUAGUUUUUUUUCCAGCGUAGUUGUUUUUUUAAAAUAAACCACAAGCACUGACUGAAAAAAUGUUUUUUCCCAACAUACAAAAUUGAACUGAAUGUUGUUAUCUUGUUAAGUUCAAAUGAUUGUACUGCAUCAUUUUCCUUUUUAGCAAUGGGAAUGGGGAAAAAAUGAAGUGAAACAAAAUGCUGCACAUUUUAUGUUGAACUAAUUUUUGUCAGACUAUCAGAGAGGAUAGCACGCAGCAGAACAGUCUUCAUGUGGGCACCUAUCUGAUGACGCAAAUGGCAAAACUCAGAGACAAAUAUGAGGUUAUCGGUGAUGUCCGUGGAAAAGGCCUCCAGAUCGGCAUGGAAAUGGUUAAAGACAAGGGCAGCAGAGAGCCGCUGCCUCCUGAAGCAAUGAGUGAGAUCCUUGAGGACGUCAAGGACACGGGAGUCCUGAUAGGCAAAGGAGGAGUGCACGGACAGACCUUCCGCAUACAACCCCCCAUGUGCAUCACGAGGGAGGAUGUAGAUUUCUUCCUGGCAGUGUUUAAUAAAGCAAUCUCGGGCUACACGGACAGAAAAUGAGCAGGUCAAUGCCGAGGGGUGAACUGGAAUGGAAAACCAUUCAGCAAGGGACUUCUCCUUUAAGAAAAAAAAACAAUUAAAAAAAUGUAUUGUCUGAAUGUUUCAAAUUUUAAUAAAAAUGGCUCCACUGAAAUCAGUCUUUUAUAGUCACUGAUUUUUACUGUUUCUCUAACUUCGAUGUCAUUUUACUCACUUCAGAUCGAAUGAAUAAACAUUUUGGUGAUCAGCCUGUACAAAUAUUUGAGAUGAACCUACCACAGCAUUACAGUUUCAUUUUGUUUUUGUCUUCCCAAUAAAACUGCAAACAUACGAUGAAAUGAA